GGAUGUGAGAGCGAUCUGGCUGCGACAUCUGCCACCCCAUUGAUCGCCAGGGUUGAUUUGGCUGAUCUGGCUGGCUAGGCCCCUUCCUCCCCUUCCUCCCUCACCGCUCCAUGUGCAUCCCUCCGGAAGCUGCAUGCUCGAUUGAAGAGGACGACCUUCCCCGUUAGAGAGGGACGGGGGUCUUUGGUCAAAGGUAUAUGAUUAGCGGCGCUCCCCUGCUAGAACCUCCAAACAAGCUCUCAAAGUGAUACGAUAGGGCUCCUUAUUUCUAGAUAGAUUCUGAGUGUUCAGUUUACUUUAAUCU
rnacentral:snRNA from 1 species